UACAAUAACAUUGCAACAGGUUUGAAUGGGAUAUAACCCUGGAAGAAGCUCAGCGAAGGAAGCUGGAGGCCUACAUCAAAAACAGUGUGUCUUUCAUGUCUCGAGGAGAGCCAAUUGGGAAGGUGCAAAUUGACCUCUCACAGAAGGACCUCACUCAGGGUGCUGCCCAGUGGUACGACUUAAAAGAUGACAAAUCCAGCUCUUAGUCUCCAUUAUUCCUCCUUUCUUGAAUUGCAACCCUGCAGGGAGUUAAAAGAGCUGGCAUGAACGCCGCCCCGCCACCACCCUUCACUGCAGGAUCCAGGCUCACUUCCCUCUGCUGGAUGGCCUUUUCCGUAUUUUUUGUUUGUUUGUUUGUUUUUAACCAAUCGUAGUGUUGUGUUCCUAGAAUCUGCGUUUUCUGUGUGAAGCUGGUAGAGGUGAAGAAAUGACUCUUAGGUGGGUUUUGGAAGAGGGGUCAGAGGGGGGGUGGACAGGGGAGACUCAUCUGUUGCAUUCACCCUUGUGUGCUUCAGUCAACAUUGCAAACCGCAUGCUGCCUUUCUUCUUACCAAAGAGAUGGACCUUUUUCAUCCUUCUGUGGAGGAGGAUGUUUCUUUCAAGCUUGCAGAUGCUGUGUGAGCUGAUGCUUCAUAGCCCAGGGACAAGAGGUUGAGUGAAAAGACCGGAGGCCUGUAGCCUGUGCCAGGGCAUCAGCAGGAAGGAUAAAGGGAGACCAGGCCACGUAGAGGGACCAAGUAUUUUCUCGUGAUGGUCGUGGGAACAGUGUUUGCAAUGCUGCCCUAGUCCUGUCACUAAGGGGCAGGUUGCGGAUGACUUGAAUGAAAGGGUUAAAAAGCAGGCAUGAGAAAGGAGGUGAAAGUAGCCAAGCAGUUUUCAUUUGCAUUUCAAAAUACAUUUUUUCCUUAAUUGGGAAGUCCCUGGCUCUGACCUCUGUGCAUUUUACCUUGUGCCCCACCGGGCACAAUUUCCCCAUCCCUGCUUGCCUGCAGAUCUCUUCUCCUGCCAGCAACUUAUGAUUAACACACACACGCAAACGCAUAACCCAUUCUUUCUGAUCCUGGCUACUUUUAAUGGAAUCAUUUCAUGUGGUUUUUUUCCCCCUUUUUGUCUUGCGUCAUAUUGUGCGUCUAAUCCAAAAGUACAGGCAGCUUUCUUGCAGUAUUUGUGUGUGCGUACGCCCGGACAUCACUUUUCUGUUACGUUUUACAAAUGAAUGUUGUUUGGUGCCUUCUUAUACACUCCAGUCCUCACUCUUCCUUCACCGGCUUCCAGGGCUGGUGGCACCCUAUAGCUAGGAUAUAUUAAUUCCAUGCUCCAGAUCAGAUGUGCAGAUAGGCAGAAUUUACCUACCGAAUGAGCCUGCCAUAUUUGCAUUUUGACUGGCUUGGAAUAUACUUCGAAAGGUGAAGAGAAAGAAAGACAACGAAGUUUGUGAGGAGAGGAGCAAAAGGUGGCCUUGGGAUAGGACAGAUGCUCUGAGGCUGCUCUCUAAGCAUACACUGUUUUCUUUGCUAGUGCAGGGAAUUUUAAAUAUUUGUGUCUGAGGCUUUCUCGCACAUUAAAAACUUAAAAGCGCUUAGCCCCUUUUCCCUUCUUGGCUUUUUUUUCGUAAUGAAAAAUCGCGGCAUGUAAUUUUGUCGUGCUCUGUGGCUUAUUGCUGGGUGGACAUGGGUCGAUGCCUCUGUUCCAACACACUGGAAUGGCAACAGCUCCUCCAGAUCUUUGCCCGUGCCUGCGCCUCAGAGCUAAUUGCUGGCUUUAAUGAGGGGCGCCUUCCCGACAGCAGUGGGCAGCCUGGACUUUUUCCUCAGGGUGUUAUCCGGCAGCUGCACUGAGGUUUUUGUUUUUAAAUGGAGGUUUGUUAUUUGUAUGGUGUUGCUAUGAGAGAGAAUCAUACCGCUUUAGUGAUUUAAAAAAAUAUAUAUCACACAGAUAAGCCUUCAGGAGGCUAAAUCCUCACAGAGGCCUCUGAGCUGUAGGUUUAUUCUGCUUUUCUAGACCUGGUAAUCUAAGGCAGGUGGCCAGGAUCUCAGGGUGAACAAGAGGAUCAUGCUUCUAAUGUUCCCAAAAUAGAGAGGGAAGGCAUUUCGUUGCUGCAUUAUCUGAAGUUCUACAGUCUAUGAAUCUCACCUCUAAGCAAACCCUUUCCUUAUGAGGAACACCUCGCCGUCAGAGCCGGGAAAGAGGACACCUGAUCCCCAGCCCUUCUCCUUUUCUCCUCACACUCUCUCACAUUUCUGAAGAAGCCAAGAACAUUGUUUCUAGUCUGUUUAUGAAGGUGGUUGUUGUUGUUGUUUUUGUGUAUUUCUACAUGUACGACCGUAGCGAAUGUGUUUGACACGGCAAAACAGACCAUCUUCUCUCUGUGAAUCAGGCCCUGCUGCCCCAAGAAAGAGGAUGCCAGCAGGGAGAGGGUGCAUGCCCGUAAAGAGCUCUGAUCACGCGCUGCCUUCUGUGCCAAAGCAAGGCUCCCGAUUGUGCUUUCCCUCAAGCAGGCUUUCCUGUAAAGAGUGCAAUUUUUUUGCAUCCGUGCCUCUCAUCGCAGUCACUGCAACUCAUUGUAGCAAAUAAAGACGGGAGAAAAAAAAAA